rnacentral:pre_miRNA from 1 species
AAUAAGUGCAGUCGUGGAUAUCCGUGUCCAACAUUUGACCGUCCGUCUUAUUUAAAAAUUUAUUAAAAAUUUAAAAAUAUUUAGUCACACAUAAAGUAAUAUUCAUGUUUUAUCAUCUAAUAGUAAUAAAAAUAUUAAUCAUAAAAUUUUUUUAAAUAAGACGAAUGGUCCAAAACUAUAUUUAUUUUAGGACGGAGGGAGUACCA